AGAGUUUGAUCCUGGCUCAGGAUGAACGCUGGCGGCGUGCCUAACACAUGCAAGUCGAGCAAGAAAUCAUAAAAUGAAACUUCGGUAGAUUUUUAAGAUGGAAAGCGGCGGACGGGUGAGUAACGCGUAGGCAACCUGCCUUAUGCAGAGGGAUAGCCAUUGGAAACGAUGAUUAAAACCUCAUAACGCCGGAGAGUCACAUGGUUUUCCGGCCAAAGAUUUAUCGGCAUAAGAUGGGCCUGCGUCUGAUUAGUUAGUUGGUGGGGUAACGGCCUACCAAGGCGACGAUCAGUAGCCGACCUGAGAGGGUGAUCGGCCACAUUGGAACUGAGACACGGUCCAAACUCCUACGGGAGGCAGCAGUGGGGAAUAUUGCACAAUGGGCGAAAGCCUGAUGCAGCAACGCCGCGUGAAGGAAGAAGGCCUUCGGGUCGUAAACUUCUGUCCUAUGGGAAGAAAAAAAUGACGGUACCAUAGGAGGAAGCCCCGGCUAACUACGUGCCAGCAGCCGCGGU
rnacentral:rRNA from 1 species